rnacentral:rRNA from 1 species
UACGUAGGGUGCGAGCGUUAAUCGGAAUUACUGGGCGUAAAGCGUGCGCAGGCGGUUAUGUAAGACAGGCGUGAAAUCCCCGGGCUUAACCUGGGAACUGCAUUUGUGACUGCAUCGCUGGAGUGCGGCAGAGGGGGAUGGAAUUCCGCGUGUAGCAGUGAAAUGCGUAGAUAUGCGGAGGAACACCGAUGGCGAAGGCAAUCCCCUGGGCCUGCACUGACGCUCAUGCACGAAAGCGUGGGGAGCAAACAGG